AUGAUGAGUGAAAAAUUGAGCAGCGGGAAGCUAAGGAAAGAAACCUGUAGCCAAGAAGGCUCAUGCCAGUGGCAAGAUUAAGAAGGGUAAUCUCAAACCCAAAGAGCCCAGGAUGGGGAAGCCCCUCUGUAGCAGAAACCCUGUCCCAUCAGGGGUAUGGGCAGAUAUUCCUGACCUGCUUGUAGUCCAGAAAAGCCAUGUACAAGAGGAAGCAUUCAGCCGCUAAAUCCAGAUUUGGAAAAAAAAAAAAAAUGGUUCUUGCUACUGUCACAAAACCAGCAGAGGAUGAUAAGAAUGGAGGUGCCUGGAUGGUAAAACUUCCGGAAAUGCCUACCUAUGUGCCUACUCAAGAUGCGCCUUGGAAUCAUGGAGCCCUGGCAAACAAAACAAAACCCUUCAGUCAGAACGUGGGAAGGCUGCAGGCAGCCUCACUCCCCCGGGACUGCUCCCAUCAUCCUCACUGGGCGCCACGGAGUCCAGAGGGUGGUUUUCCUGAGCUGAGCAGUAAUUAGACCUCUGCUUCUCAACUGAGUUCCUCUGUGUGGAACAUACUGGAAAUGUGUCAUCAGCACCUCCAUCAAAGUUGCGAUGAGCAGUGUGAAAAUCCCCCACAUCUGGCUGCUGCACACGCACAGACACCAGGAAGGUGAGCACUUCCACACAGAGAAGGAAAUGCGGCUUACACAGCAGUGCGAGACAGAUCAGAAAGCUGUGGACUCACAAAUGCUGCCCCGAACCAAAGCUGUCCCUCAGCUCUAGGGCUACCUUCAUUCUGUGUUCUCACUCACAAACGCAAUGUGUCCUGACCAACUGCGGUUCUCA
rnacentral:lncRNA from 1 species